rnacentral:lncRNA from 1 species
CUUGGCGGGCUCGAGUGUAUGCCUCUGAUCAAGGUGUCAUCGAGUAUAUUUGAUGGCAUGAGCCAAAUGUUUAUGAAAGUCAUAAGCCCUAAUGAGAAAUUAAAUGAAAUACAAUCGUUUGCAUGGGUUGGGAUGAAUUUUCAAAUUGUGAAAUACUUAAAAUGAUGGGAUAUUUUAAUUAUCUCCUUUUAGUCGGCUUUAGCUGAUUUAAAUGACGUUUGUUUACUCACUGAGAUUUUAUAAUCUCACCACCCUCCUUUCCACCCAUUUCAAGCUCAGAGUAGGCUGUAGAUAAGUGGUUCCAUCGGGGAUUUCCAUUGGAUUGCAUCUUCCAAAUUGUAAGUUCACGGCUUCUUUAAUUUUGGUUAUUGUGGGCCCACUUGAUAUUGUAAAUUUAAA